CAAACAAAUUCUUUUAGUUUUUGAAUCGUUUCAAACAAGUCAUUUUAGAGGAUGAUGGUGAUGAUUCAGAUGAUAGCAACAAAGAGCAUUAUCC
rnacentral:pre_miRNA from 1 species